rnacentral:rRNA from 1 species
CCCUUAGAUGUUCUGGGCUGCACGCGUGCUACACUGAUAUUGCCAAUAUGUCAUUCUUAUCCGAAAUGGAUUGGGUAAUCAAGUAAUGAAAUUUCAUGCUUGGAAUCGGUAAUUGCAAUUUUAUCGUGAACGAGGAAUUCCUAGUAAGCACUAGUCAUCAGCUAAUGUUGAUUAUGUCCCUGCCCUUUGUACACGCCGCCCGUCGCUACUACUGAUUGGGUGUUCAAGUGAGAUGCUUAGACCCUUGUUGCAUGGUUCAUUAUUGUGCUCCGAAAGGAAAAAGUUUCAAGCUUGAGUGUCUAGAGGAAGUAAAAGUCGUAACA